rnacentral:rRNA from 1 species
AGGAAUGAACAGUUCGGCAAGUCUACAAAGGCCAUGAAGAAAUACUGUAAACGAUCAAGCAAGGACGAUCUAGUUUUGAAGGCCACAUUCGAAUCAAUCACGAGAAUUGGAUAA